rnacentral:rRNA from 1 species
AUGGGGGAUGCAAAUGUGCUGGAGCGUAUACUCGACGGAGCCGCGGACCCGACGAAUCUGUCAUUACAACUCUUAAAGGACAUCACGGGAAAUUUCUCUCAAGACAGAAAAAUUGGCCAGGGAGGAUUUGGAGAGGUUUACAAGGGUGUACUCGGAGAAAAGAUUGUUGCUGUGAAGAGGAUCCAUAUAAACGAAAACACAGUUGACGACGGUCUAUUUCGUCGUGAGUUUGGUAGCCUGUCGAAAACUAAUCAUCGGAAUGUAGUACGGUUUCUUGGCGUCUGCUCUAACACACUUCAGAAAACGAUAGAGGAUGCUUGGUCAGGAGAGAUUAGGUUGGCCAGCGUAUUAGAGAGAUUGCUCUGCUUCGAGUACAUCAGCAAUGGAAGCCUUGAUAAGCAUAUUACGGAUGAAUUAAGAGGGCUUGAAUGGGAAACGCGUUAUGAAAUAAUCACCGGGAUUUGCAAGGGCCUGCGUUAUCUUCACAAAGAAAAAGAUAUUAUUCAUAUGGACCUUAAACCGGCAAAUAUUUUACUACAUCAUCAAGAUGGAAAAUAUAUGAUUCCAAAGAUCACGGAUUUUGGUCUGGCAAGACCAAAUAAAAACUCGCAUACUGUGGGUCAAUGUUAUGGAACACCAGGAUAUUGGGCUCCAGAAUGCAGGGAUGACAGCAAAACUACAACCGCAUGUGAUAUAUAUAGUUUGGGUGCCAUAAUCAUAGAAUUAGUAACGGGGUGUAAGGACAUCCCUGACAAAAACUACGUACUUCGAAGGUGGAGACACAGAUGGAAUAAUCCACCGACGCAACUACAAUACCAACAAGUAACUAGAUGCAUCGAUAUAGCGGUACGCUGCAGGGAAAAAAACCCGGAAUCUAGACCUUCUAUAUCGGAGAUAAUCAACUUUCUGAGCGAAUCUGAAGAAACAUGUGGCCAGAUAAUCCCUUGUUUAGAUGAAGAUGACAUGCUUCGGAUUAAUCCGCUCGAAUUGCGGCUACCUUCUGAGCUGAAGAACGAGAUAUCAUGCAAAGUUGAGCCAAGGAAUGGUACACGUAAUUGCAUUGCCUUCAACAUCCAACUGCCAAGCGCACAGUACAGCGCACAACCAGUCAAAUGCAUUGUGCAACCAAGAUCCAUGUAUGUUGUGAUGAUAACCGUGCAAGCAAGAGAUGUUCGUGAGCACGACCAUGCCGACAAGCUCAUCGUAGAAAGCAUGAAAUGGACUGAGGGCCUUGGACAAGAGGAUAUCAUAGAAUGUAUGUCUGGUGCAGAGAAGCGCAAAGAAGUUGAUGAGGUGGAUCUGAUUGUUGUAUAUGAGACUACGAAGCCCCAAGAAAAUUGCAAGCGUAGAAGAGAGACCAACAUGCCAGGUGAUGAAGACCCCAAGGCGAGGAAGAUAAAGAUUGUUGAGUCUGCUUCCUGUAGCGGCGAGAAUAAAGAGGCACCUUCCAUGGACAUCAACUCCAGCACAAGAGGACAAUGUACUGGGAAAACAGAGCAGUGCAAAUUGUACCCACUACAAAGCUUUUCACGCCAUUCUGCUACCAACGAGAAAUACCUAGGGAAAAAGAGCCAUCGAGCUGUGGAUGUCUCAAGGGGGGCCAUGGGUAGCCUGCUCGACAAGCUGGGAAAGCUCGUCACGGAGGACUAUAGUCUGGAUCCGAGCAUCAAGAGUGAUAUCGAGUCUUUCUCAUCAGAGCUGGAGAUCAUGCAUCAAGACCUCCCGAAGCUGGAAAAUAUUGAUAAUGCCAAGAUUUGGGUUGACAAAGUAAGGGAGCUGUCAUAUUACAUAGAGGAUAUGGUCGAUACCUUCUUGGUGCACGUCGAGCUUGACUCCAGUAGGUGUGGCUUCAGGGAGCUCACAUGUAAGGGGCUAAAGCUUUUGGUGAAUGGCAUGACAACUCACGAUCAUACUGAUGAUGUGAUCAAAGACAUCAAGGUCAAAGUUAAGGCUGUGGCCGAUGGGAAAGGGAAGUACAAUAUCGAUGUGAACAAUGUUGUAGCUAAUGCAAUUGAGAAAGCUGCCAUUUACCCUCGGAUGGCUGUGUACACAAAUAAAGAACAUCUCAUUGGCAUUGAAACGCCAAGAGAUGACGUAAUAGGGCUAUUUGAGGAGGGUGGCGAUGUAGAUAAGCAAGAGCUCAGGAUAGUCUCUAUCGUUGGAAUGGGAGGAUUGGGCAAAACCACACUUGCCAAGGCGGUGUAUGAAGAGUUUAAAGGCUACAGUCAUAAAGCUUUUGUUUCGGUGGGCCAGAAUCCUGAUCUGGUAAAUGUUUUGAAGAAGACUAUCCGUGAUUGUCAAGGUCGAGAAUAUAAUGCAGCAAAACUGGAACAACUGGAUGUGGAGCAGCUUUGCAACGAACUCCGCAAUUUUCUCAAGGAUAAGAGAUACUUCAUAGUAAUUGAUGAUUUAUGGGGUUGCCCGUUAUGGGAUACUAUUAAUUCUGCUUUUCCAAGAGAUAAAUGUGGUAGUAGAGUGAUAACAACAACAAGGAUUCAAGAGGUUGUUGAUCGUGAAAGUUGGAAUGUUGAGAACAAAGUUUAUAGAAUCAAACCACUCAGUCAUAAAGACUCAAGAAGUCUAUUUUUUAGAAGAAUAUCUGAUCCUAGAAAAGAUUGCCCUGUUACACCUCGAAAAGAAGAGAUUUUAGCAGAUAUUCUGAGAAGAUGUGGUGGCAUGCCGCUUGCUAUUAACAGUAUAGCAAGCCAUCUAGCUCGUCAUUCAUCAGAAUCGUCCUGGGAGCAUGUAAGGAAAUCUUUGGGUGCUACUCAAUGUAAUGAUGUUGAACAGAUGAAGAAAAUAUUGGAUCUUAGCUACAUACAUCUUCCUGAUCAUCUGAAGACAUGUCUUCUUUAUGUCUGUAUGUAUUCAGAGGAUCGAAAGAUAAAUAAAAAUGAUUUGUUGAGGCAGUGGGUAGCUGAAGGUUUCGUGAGUACAGACGGGGGGCAGGAUGCAGAGGAUGUUGCAGAAGAGUACUUCAAAGCGCUCAUAGACAUGUUUAUGAUCCAACCUUGGAAGAUAGACUACUGCACCAAUGAAGUGUUGUCUUGCAGAGUACACGAUAUAAUUCUUGAGCUUAUGAGAUCCAAGUCAAGUGAAGAGAAAUUUAUUCAUGUAAUUGAUGGUUUGAAAGAUGUGUCAGGACAGAUCCAUCGAGUCUCAGUCCAGUACAAUGAUAAGGAGGAUAGUAGAACUCUUAAAACAAUCAAAGGGUCACUAUCACAUGCUCGGUCAGUGUUACUUUACCGAGCCUCGCUUUUGCCUGCCUUUCUGGAAUUCAAGCAUGUCCGAGUUUUGCACCUUGAAGAUAAAGUAUAUUCAAGAGAGCCCCUAGACCUCACUGGUAUCAGUAGUUUGUUUUUCCUAAGGUAUUUAAAGAUUGCACUCCACCCAUUGUCUGGUGACCUUAAAUUACCUGAUCAACUUGGGCAGCUACAACAAUUGGAGACAAUACAUCUAAAAGGAGGUGGACUAAAGAAGUAUCCAUCAGAUCUUUGUACUUUGCCCCGGUUAUCGUGUCUCAUAUAUAGUAGAUAUGGGGGUAUAAUGUUGCCUUACGGGAUUGAAAGGUUGAAAUCUCUGCACAUCCUGAAAGGUGUAUGUCUGUAUAAAAGCUCUGUAGAAACUAUCAAGGGCCUUGGCGAGCUGACCAACUUGAGAAAUCUUGGGAUCAAUUCGAAUUUCCCUAUUGGAUGGGGAUUUCAUGAAUCGGAGGAAGUGGCAUAUGCACGUAUGAAUGCCUUGCACUCUUCCAUUUCGAGUCUUUCCACCAGCGUCAGGAUCCUUACUUUGCAUGCAUAUUUACCUGGGCAUGAUAUGGAGUACUGGAACAGGACACUGUUUCCUCAAGGUUCUCAUAUUCGGAAGCUCCAUCUGAGCGGCUGCAGUUUUUAUACAUGCCCCGAGUGGAUUGGUCAGCUCCAUGAUCUAUAUAGUCUUACUAUUACGGUGAUGGAGGUGGCUGAUAGCAUCAGUAUUGUUGAAGGGUUGACUUCACUUGCGUACUUUGAGCUCUCUACUGAUACUGAUAGGUAUUGGAAAGAAAAGGAAAGUAUAGUCAUCUCUGGCGGCGGGGCAUUCCAAGCACUCAAGCACCUGAUUUUCCAUUGUCCAAAGGUGUCACUGAUCUUUGAAGUGGGGGCGUUGCCCAAACUUGAGAAGCUUGAAAUACUGUUCUGUCACCUGACGCAUCACAUAUCCUACCUGGCCGUUGGCAUAGAGCACUUGCCAGCUCCAACCCUUGAACAAAUCAUUAUAAAAUUGACCAGAAACAUCAAGUCAGGCUUCAGCAUAACUAUCAAUGACUGGGAUGAUAACGAUUGGGAGUGUGACUAUGCUUCAGAUCAGGAAACAGACAGUUUAAUAAAACAACUAAGAAAGUUGAGGAGCGUAUUGAAGAGAGCAUUUAAGAAGCAUCAUCCUGGCGCUGACAUCUACAUUGAGUUUGAAGAUUAUAGCUAUGAUCCUUCGCAACAAAAAGAAAGAUAUAGGUCAGAUGAAGAGGCGGAGUCUGUUGAUGAUGAAGACGAUGAGGGUGCUCAUCAAGUGAAUGGAUCUCAAACUGCAGCACAAGUCCAGACUAACACAAGGCAAUUAAUUGAGCUAAUUGACGCGCAAGAAGAUUCGGCUAGGAUGAGCAUUAACAUUGAUGCGCCUCUGAUGGUGGGCACGUCCAUAGAUCUUGCGGUCGGUUUGGAGGGGUGGCAAGGUGGACGCGGCAGUCAAGAUUUGGCCGUUCUGGAAUCCUCGGAGCAGCCUUCUACAAGUCUGCUUGCCCCCUUGCCUUCCUCCAUUCCCCUGUUUGCAUGGGCAGACACAGCCGAGCCCAUGGCCAACUUUUCUGUUGAUAUCAACAUCAACAAUGAUCUCUUAGUUCAGCAGGGUAACGAUGGCAUGCUGGUUAAUACAGUGGGACAAUAUCUUGAUCUCAACCAGCAGGCUCAUGCACGUGAACUUUUUGAUCUCAAUCAUGCUUCUUCGGCAGAUUCGGAAUCCUUGCAGCUGCCCUUUAGAAGUCUGCUUGCCCCUUCUUCCUCCUCCCUUCACCACACACUAGAACUUUCCUUAUGGCCGGACGCAGCCGAGACCGAAAGGGAUUAUCUCAAUCCGGCCCCUAAUGAGAUUACUGAUGAAGAAUUUUUUGUGGAUUGA